rnacentral:rRNA from 1 species
UAUAAUUUAUGUAUUAUUUUUAUAAAAUUAUUUAUUUUUUAAAAAAAAAAUUUUUAAAAAGUUUAUUUUUAGUAAUUUAAUAAGAAAUAAAAAAUUUUUAUUUUUGUAAAAAGAAAAAAUUAGAAGUUUAAAAUAAAAAUUUAAUUUUUGUACCUUUUGUAUAAGGGUUAUUUUAAUAAAAUUUAAUUAAAUUUAAUUAUCUCGAAUUUAAAUGAAAUAAAAUAUUAUUUUUUUUAGUGUAAAAUAAUUAUUAAUUAUAAUAUUUUUGAAAUUAUAUGUUAUUCAAAUUUUUAUAUCUAGUUUUUUAAUAAAUAAAUUUAAUUUAAAAUUAUUUAUUAAUUUCUUUUUUUAUUUAAAAUAAAUUAUGAAAAUAAUUAAAAAAUAAAAGAGAUAAAUUUUUUAUUUAUUUUAAAAUUUUAAUAUUUAUUAACUUUUUUUUUUUAAUUUAUGUUAUUUUAUAAUAAAAAAAUUUUAAAUUUUAUUAAUUUUUAAUUGAAUUUAUUAAUAAAAAUUUAAUUUAUAUAUUAAAAUUUAAUUAAAAAUUUUUUUUAAUUAAUAAUAAUGAAUAAAUUAGUAUUUAAAAUAUUUAAUUUAUUAAAUUUAAAUUAAAUUAGUUAAAAAUAAUUCAGCAAUAAAUUAUUUUCACUUGUUUAUCAAAAACAUGUCUUAAAGAUAAUAAUUUUAGGUUUAAUCUGUUCAAUGAUAUAUAAAAUAUUAAAUAAUUGCAGUAUAUUAACUGUGCAAAGGUAGCAAAAUCAUUUGUUUUUUAAUUGAAAACUGGAAUGAAAGAUUGAAUGAGAAAUAAACUUUUUUUUAAUUAAUUGAAUAAUUUUAUUUUAAAAUAAAAAAUUUUUAAUGUAUUUAAAAGACGAUAAGACCCUAUAAAAUUUAAUAUUUAUUUUUAUUAUUUUAUAAUAUUUUAAUAUUGAUUUUAAAUAUUUAAUUGGGGUGAUUAAAAAAUUUUUAAAACUUUUUUUUAUAUAAAAAAUUAAUAUUUUUAAUAUAAAUAAUUUUAAUUAUUUUUAAAUAAAAUUACUUUAGGGAUAACAGCAUAAUAUUAUUAAAUAGAACUUAUUGAUAAUAAUGAUUAUGACCUCGAUGUUGAAUUAAAUUUAAUAUAUUAAUAUAUAUAUAUAUAUAUAUAUAAUUAGAAGAAGAAAUAUAAAUUUAGUCUGUUCGACUAUUAAAAUUUUACAUGAUUUGAGUUCAAAUCGGCGUGAGCCAGAUUGGUUUCUAUCUUUAAAUGAAUUAAAAAAACUUUUGUACGAAAGGAUUAGUUUAUUAAUUAAAUUUUUA